rnacentral:rRNA from 1 species
AGCAGCCGCGGUAAUUCCAGCUCCAAUAGCGUAUAUUAAAGUUGUUGCAGUUAAAAAGCUCGUAGUUGAACCUCGGGGUCUACCCAUUGGUCAGGCUUAAUUGUCUGCACUGGUGAGAUGGAUCUCUACCUUCUGAGGAACUUUCAUGCCAUUUAUUUGGUGUGAUGGGAAAUCAGGACUGUUACUUUGAAAAAAUUAGAGUGUUUAAAGCAGACUAUCGUCUGAAUACAUUAGCAUGGAAUAAUGAAAUAGGACGGACUGAUUCUAUUUCGUUGGUUUCUAGGAUCACCGUAAUGAUUAAUAGGGAUAGUUGGGGGCAUUAGUAUUCAAUUGUCAGAGGUGAAAUUCUUGGAUUUAUUGAAGACUAACUACUGCGAAAGCAUUUGCCAAGGAUGUUUUCAUUAAUCAAGAACGAAAGUUAGGGGAUCGAAGACGAUCAGAUACCGUCGUAGUCUUAACCAUAAACUAUGCCGACUAGGGAUCGGACGAAGUUAAUUUUAUAAUGACGCGUUCGGCACCUUACG